UUGACGCUUAACUUUUCAGAACUUAAGAAAUCUGAAAGAUCGAAUGUUGAAAGCCUCAAUCGUCGACCAGUAAAGAAAUUGCUGGAGUUCAAUGAGAUGGAUGGAAGACGGCCGGUUCGUCGCCUGCUUUUUGCAGUAAAACAUGUAGUUUUAUAGCCUGCGCACAGGUAGGUAAU